AUUAAACGCUGGCGGCAUGCCUUACACAUGCAAGUCGAACGGCAGCACGGGGGCAACCCUGGUGGCGAGUGGCGGACGGGUGAGUAAAGCAUCGGAACGUAUCCUGGAGUGGGGGGAUAACGUAGCGAAAGUUACGCUAAUACCGCAUAUUCUGUGAGCAGGAAAGCAGGGGGAUCGCAAGACCUUGCGCUCUGGGAGCGGCCGAUGUCGGAUUAGCUAGUUGGUGGGGUAAAGGCCUACCAAGGCGACGAUCCGUAGCGGGUCUGAGAGGAUGAUCCGCCACACUGGGACUGAGACACGGCCCAGACUCCUACGGGAGGCAGCAGUGGGGAAUUUUGGACAAUGGGCGGAAGCCUGAUCCAGCCAUGCCGCGUGAGUGAAGAAGGCCUUCGGGUUGUUAAA
rnacentral:rRNA from 1 species